GAUGAAUCAUGGGAUUAGAUUAUUGUUUAUGUGCAGUGGAUUACAUUUUUUGUUUCCCGGAGAAGAAAGGCUUCUUGCAUAAUGGCCUAAUGGGUACCUGUGUAAAAUUUUAAGACUGGAGAAGAUCUUAAGACUUGAUGUUAUAUUGAUUAGUUUGAGUUUUAUGUGGUUUUGGUGUUUCUGAUUUGUGUUCUUAAGAACUUUAGAACAACGAUUGUGAUUUGUGUUGUGGAUGUGAUCUAAAAUAUAUUGUAAACUCUUUUAAAUCCACGUUGUAUAACCUUUAAAAUACUUUGUAAAGUCUUUAAAAUACAUGUUGUCAAACCUUUAAAAUAUCUUGUAAAACCUUUAAAAUUCACGUAACCUUUAAAAUACUUUGUAAAACCUUUAAAAUACCUUGUAAAACCUUUAAAAUAUAUGUUGUCGAACC
rnacentral:lncRNA from 1 species